rnacentral:lncRNA from 1 species
CAAGCACUAAUAUUGGCUGCCUCACAUCCAUGCACCCACUGGAUCUAUAUAUAUCACAUGAAACCAGAAAUAAGGACUCACUCAAGCUCACCUACUCACUUUUGAUUACGGUUCUCCAGAAGCUAACAGAGAUCGUUUCUGCUUUGAAGAAAAUGGAAACUCCUUACACAGGUUAAUUUUUAGGCCAUGUUCAAUUGAAUGUCAUUUAUAAUUCUAAUUUUAAUAUAUGUGUUUGUGAAUAAGGUUUUUAUUAUCAAAUUUUCAGGUAACAAAGAAUGGUCAGAGGGUACACAUGUUAAUAUAGGAGUUAGUAUGUUUGAUGAUGAGAAAAUAAACAACGAUGAUCUUGAUCUUUUUACUGUCCCUCAAUACGGGAGGUACCCUGACUACACUGGUUAAGUGUUACAGCAUUAUACUUUUCUAUUAUGUUUAGUGAAAUAAAAGGAUGGAUAAUGUUAUUAUCCACCAAUGAUGUGAAUACAAGGUUGGUUUAGUCAACUACUAAGAUCUUGUGGGAUAGACAAAAAACUGCUUUCUUUAGCACAUGUAUUUUGUCGUCCUUAAUUAAUAAAUAAAAUUAUUGUGUGUAUGAGUUGACUGAAUUAUUUUGGCAAUAGAUAUAAAAUUGUAUUAUUUUAAAUAUCUCUAUUUGAUUAAUUGUGCUCUUUUUCUUCUUGAAGGGGCCA